CCUACGGGUGGCUGCAGUGAGGAAUAUUGGUCAAUGGACGAGAGUCUGAACCAGCCAAGUAGCGUGAAGGAUGACUGCCCUAUGGGUUGUAAACUUCUUUUAUAAAGGAAUAAAAUGAGGCACGUGUGCCUUUUUGUAUGUACUUUAUGAAUAAGGAUCGGCUAACUCCGUGCCAGCAGCCGCGGUAAUACGGAGGAUCCGAGCGUUAUCCGGAUUUAUUGGGUUUAAAGGGAGCGUAGAUGGGUUGUUAAGUCAGUUGUGAAAGUUUGCGGCUCAACCGUAAAAUUGCAAUUGAUACUGGCAGUCUUGAGUACAGUUGAGGUAGGCGAAAUUCGUGGUGUAGCGGUGAAAUGCUUAGAUAUCACGAAGAACCCCGAUUGCGAAGGCAGCUUACUAAACUGUCACUGACAUUGAUGCUCGAAAGUGUGGGUAUCAAACAGGAUUAGAUACCCGGGUAGUC
rnacentral:rRNA from 1 species